rnacentral:snRNA from 1 species
UAAAAGGGCCUCUGCUGUGCGUAGCACAGAAUCAGACAUAAUUAUGUUCGAUUCUGCGGAAUGGUUAUCAAGACAUUUCGGAGGAAUAAUGUUUAGAAAUCGAGCUGCUAUGUUUCAUAUAACUGGCGCUCCU